UACGUAGGGGGCAAGCGUUGUCCGGAUUUAUUGGGCGUAAAGAGCGUGUAGGCGGCUAGAUAGGUCCGUUGUGAAAACUCGAGGCUCAACCUCGAGACGUCGAUGGAAACCAUCUGGCUAGAGUCCGGAAGAGGAGAGUGGAAUUCCUGGUGUGGCGGUGAAAUGCGCAGAUAUCAGGAAGAACACCCGUGGCGAAGGCGGCUCUCUGGUACGUGACUGACGCUGAGACGCGAAAGCGUGGGGAGCAAACAGG
rnacentral:rRNA from 1 species